rnacentral:rRNA from 1 species
GACGAACGCUGGCGGCGUGCUUAACACAUGCAAGUCGAACGGAAAGGCCCUGCUUUUGUGGGGUGCUCGAGUGGCGAACGGGUGAGUAACACGUGAGUAACCUGCCCUUGACUUUGGGAUAACUUCAGGAAACUGGGGCUAAUACCGGAUAGGAGCUCCUGCUGCAUGGUGGGGGUUGGAAAGUUUCGGGGGUUGGGGAUGGACUCGCGGCUUAUCAGCUUGUUGGUGGGGUAGUGGCUUACCAAGGCUUUGACGGGUAGCCGGCCUGAGAGGGUGACCGGCAAAAUUGGGAAGGAGAUACGGCCCAGACUCCGACGGGGGGCAGGAGGGGGGAAAAUUGCAAAAGGGGGGGAAGCAUGAUGCAGCAACGCCGGGGGGGGGAUGACGGCCUUGGGGGUGUAAACCGCUUUGGCGUGGGAAGAAGGGGGGGUGAGGGAAAGGGGAAAAGAAGCACCGGCAAACUACGU